rnacentral:tRNA from 1 species
CCGUAGCUCAGUGGAUAGAGCGUCUGCCUCCGGAGCAGAAGGUCGUAGGUUCGAAUCCUAUCGGGC